UACGUAGGGGGCGAGCGUUGUCCGGAAUGAUUGGGCGUAAAGGGCGCGUAGGCGGCCAUGUAAGUCUGAAGUGAAAGUCCUGUUUUUAAGAUGGGAAUUGCUUUGGAUACUGUGUGGCUUGAGUGCAGGAGAGGUAAGUGGAAUUCCCAGUGUAGCGGUGAAAUGCGUAGAGAUUGGGAGGAACACCAGUGGCGAAGGCGACUUACUGGACUGAAACUGACGCUGAGGCGCGAAAGUGUGGGGAGCAAAC
rnacentral:rRNA from 1 species